CUGUAGCAGCAUUUCUCCACUUUCAGUUCCACCUCCACCACCAUCCCCACCCCCACCCCCACCACCUUCGUUUGGGAGCACAGGAAAUAAACUUCAGGCGCAGCCACCUCCUCCUCCUCCGAUCCAUGCAUCUUUGACUAAAUGUGCACCCCCACCCCCACAGCCACCUACAUCUCAUUCUGGUCUUGCUCGUGUUGGCCCAUCUUCUGCACCCCCACCACCUCCACCUCCGCCUCCUAAGGCUAAUAUUUCAAAUGCCCACAUGCCACCUCCUCCACCACCUCCACUUCCUCCUUCAUCUGCAAAGUUGGGGCCGCCCCCUCCACCCCCACCACAUCCUCCUUCAUCUGUAAAGUUGGGUGCUCCCCCUCCGCCUCCACCACCACCACCACUUCCUCCUUCAUCUGCAAAGUUGGAUGCUCCCCCUCCGCCUCCUCCACCACCACGUCCUCCUUCAUCUGCAAAGUUGGGUGCUCCCCUUCCGCCUCCUCCACCACCACUUCCUCCUUCAUCUGCAAAGUUGGGUGCGCCCCCUCCGCCUCCACCACCACCACGUCCUCCUUCAUCUGCAAAGUUGGGUGCUCCCCCCCGAUUCUGAUCUUAUCGGAUUCGCUUCAGGUUUCGCUACAAUGUCUCUGUUAAGUAGGUUCUUCUACAAGAGACCACCAGAUGGGUUGCUUGAGUUUGCUGAUAGAGUUUAUGGUAAAAUCAUAUUAACGAUUACUCUUCAUGUUGUUAUGUACUCUAAUAUGGCAAAAAUCUUUGUGAUUUGGACAGUUUUCGAUUCUUGUUUUUGCACGGAAGUGUUGCCGGAUGACUUAUACCAAAUCUUCCUUCACGAAGUCAUCAAUGACUUACAUGAAGACUUUCCCGAAUCAUCUUUUCUAGCAUUCAAUUUCCGACAAGGGGAGAAAAAGAAAAGAAGCGUCUUUGCUGAAACCCUCUGUGAAUACGAUGUUACCGUCCUUGAGUAUCCAAGGCACUAUGAAGGCUGCCCUUUGCUUCCUUUAUCACUGAUCCAGCAUUUUCUCCGUGUCUGUGAGAGCUGGCUUUCUCGUGGGAGCCGUCAGGAUGUUAUUCUUCUUCACUGUGAAAGAGGAGCCUGGCCUCUUCUGGCUUUUGUCCUUGCUAGUUUCUUGAUUUUCAGGAAAGUUCACAGCGGCGAGCGAAGGUGUCUUGAGAUUGUGCUUCGUGAGGCUCCCAAGGGUCUCUUGCAGCUGCUCUCGCCCUUAAAUCCUUUCCCGUCUCAACUUCGUUAUCUUGAGUAUGUAGCGAGGAGGAACUUGAAUCCUCAGUGGCCACCUCCUGAAAGAGCGCUUUCUUUGGAUUGUGUGAUUAUUCGAGGUAUUCCAAUUUUUGACUCCCAAUAUGGAUGCAGACCUAUUAUACGUAUCUUUGGAAGAAGCUUUAGUAGCACAACUGGUCUUUCCACGGAGAUGCUCUAUUCUAUGUCCAAUAUAGAUAAACCCCUCCGGCUUUACCGACAGGUUGGUCUGUGCUAUUCAUUUUGUGAUUUCUGCAAUACGUUCUUUCCGAGUAACGUAACAACUCUCUAUAAUCUGGCUUCAGGCAGAAUGUGAGGUGAUCAAAAUUGACAUCCAGUGCUGGGUGCAAGGAGAUGUUGUACUGGAGUGUGUGCAUAUGGAUUUAGAACCAGAACGAGAGGUUAUGAUGUUUCGUGUGAUGUUCAAUACUGCAUUUAUCAGGUCCAACAUACUAAUUCUGAACCCUGACAACUUGGAUAUUCUUUGGGAGGCCAAGAAUCAUUAUCCAAAAGGGUUUCGAGCAGAGGUAUGGACCCUUUUGUUCAUUUCUUUAAAAUUUUAUAUGUAUAUGAGAAAAUAUGGGUGCAGAGGAGAAACAACACAAAUAAAUUAUUAAUAUAUGCGUGCGAUUGUGUCUGACUCCCUCCGUUCUUCAUGCAUUCAGGUUUUGUUUGGAGAAGUUGAGAAUGCUUCGCCUCAGAAAGUUCCAACCCCAAUAGUAAAUGGUAAUGAGAUUGGUGGCUUGCCCAUAGAAGCCUUUUCUAAAGUUCAAGAACUUUUUAGUGGUGUGGAUUUGGCUGAAAAUGGAGACGAUGCUGCUUUUUGGUUGCUGAAACAACUUGCUGCCAUAAAUGAUGCAAAAGAGUUCCGGCACAAAGGGAGUUAUUAUUUUAAUUCUCCCGACUCUGAAGAGGAGACCAACACAUCUAGUGCCGCCGGCAGUUCUGAUGAAGGACUUGAUGCCACUCAUAGACCUCGAGCCUCUCUAUCUUUUGAUAAUGAUGAGACAGAAGACAUUUCUACAUCGUUGGCUCCUGAAUCUUCAGAGGAACCUCAUGUAUUCCCUCGUCGUCAACAGCAAGAAGUUUCAGCGAAGCAAAGUGUCCACCCUUCGACUCUUCCACCUUCUGUCACACUUUUGCCUCCACCGCCACCGCCCCCUCCAUUUCCCGUAAACAAAGUUACAAGCAUAGGCUCGUUGUCAUCCCAACCCCCACCUCCGCCGCCACCUCUCCCUAGUUUCAGCAGUAGAGAUCCUCUGACAACAUCGCACCAGCCUUUCAACAAAACCCCACCACCUCCUCUACCUUACUGUAGCAGCAUUUCUCCACUUUCAGUUCCACCUCCACCACCAUCCCCACCCCCACCCCCACCACCUUCGUUUGGGAGCACAGGAAAUAAACUUCAGGCGCAGCCACCUCCUCCUCCUCCGAUCCAUGCAUCUUUGACUAAAUGUGCACCCCCACCCCCACAGCCACCUACAUCUCAUUCUGGUCUUGCUCGUGUUGGCCCAUCUUCUGCACCCCCACCACCUCCACCUCCGCCUCCUAAGGCUAAUAUUUCAAAUGCCCACAUGCCACCUCCUCCACCACCUCCACUUCCUCCUUCAUCUGCAAAGUUGGGGCCGCCCCCUCCACCCCCACCACAUCCU
rnacentral:lncRNA from 1 species